AGCGAAACCAAGACUCAGCGUUCAUAGCAGAGACUCGUAGAGACCGGAAGAACAACAUCAACAUUAAAACAGAGAAAUGAAAAAGAUUUUUUCAUAUGUUGAUGGAAAAACCUUUGAGUCGGAUAAAACAUUUCUUCAAAGACUCAAAGCACAUGGAGCAAAAAUAGUGGAAAAGCCUGAAGAGAGUGAUGCGAUUAUUGUCUUCUGUCCCAUUGUCAGCCGUUUUGAGACCGACAUAAAUUCAGCUUUAUCUAAUGCCCCAGAAAGUAAAAAGGUGAUUGUGGUGGCCUUGCAUCACACCUACGACCCGAACUACACUGUGCCAAAUAACCGAGAGAUGGACGGAAAACUUGUUGUGAGCUGUUUGUUUUUUGAGAAGAAAGGACUUCUUUCUUGCCCUUGCAACAGUGAGGCAAAGAAGACGGUCUACAAAGAGCCGGAUCGAUGAAGGAUGCACAGAUUCUCACAAACAUGGAUUGCAUUAGUUUUACACAUCUGAGUCUCCCACCAAGACCCAUUAAAAUUAGUACAGGAAAAAAAAGGCCCAAGACUAAAAGUAAAAAUUAAAGAAAAAGGUCCGCAUAAAAAUGAAAAACUCCAUCUGAACUUCAUCAGGUUGCUCUAUAUUUUUAAUGAAUUUACAUGAAUUUGAUUGCACAUUAUUUGCCCAUUUUCUUUCCUGUGAUGGUUUUCCAUCUUUGUUACUAAACAACAUCAGGCAGCGUACUCAUGACUCGUUCUUUGUGUUUUACUUGCAAUUUCACUGUUGAGUUCCAUGAAUAUAUGCUUAUUAAUGCUUAUAAUGCUCAUUCAAAUGUAUUACACGAUGGCAUUGUAUGUACAAUUGUAAUUGCACAAUAAAGCAGGUUUGUG